rnacentral:lncRNA from 1 species
UUUUUAUCAAAGUAUUAAUCUCUCUUUAAACCCAAUUUACUACCAAUACUACCUCACAAACUCAAUUCAAUAUGCAAAUUUAUACAUCCAUGUUUUCACAUUAGAAGCUAACUGGACCAGUCUCAUGAAGAUCCGUGUUAAUUAAAUCCAUUAAUCUAAUUAAACACAGUUACCAUGAGACUAUGAGAGUCAAACCAAAUUAUUCAAACCCUAGUUAUUUUAACAAAUGCAUGCAUAUUUUGCAAGCCGACUUGCAUACUGGGAAUAACAAUUAGCAAGCAUGCACCGAAGUUAGAAACUGAGAAAUGAAAACUCUUUCAGAAUAUAUAAAAUAAAAUAAUAAUAAGAUCACAUGACUAAUUAUAAACACUCAACAGUGCACAAACAAAAUGAAACGAAGUGCAAUGAUUAUCAUGUUCUCACAUGUUUGUAGUGCAUCUACAUAGCAAGACUACUAAUUAAACAUGAGUAACAUUUGAACGUAUUAAUUAAAAAAUUAAAAGAACUUUAUUGCUUAAUUAAAAUGGAUAGUUAAAAUUGAAGAAAAACACUUGAUUUAGAACUAGGUGUUAUCUUGAUCAGCUGCUGCUUGUUGUUUUGGCAGCAAUAGUAGCAUAAGUAAAAGUAGGUUUCCUACAGGUGAUGAGUAGUGGUGGAGAUGGUGAUGAUGGUGGUGGGGUUGGUGGAUGGUGGUGGUGGUAGUGAUGAUGAUGCUGAUAAAGGUCUAGGAAAGCGUCUUAGGAUUUUUGCCAGGAAAGAAUGCAAGAGAAAGAUUACGUGAUGGUUAGGGUUUGAUUAUUGGGUGGGAUUAUUGAUAAAUUUUAUUUUUAUUGUUAAUUUCAUCUUAUACUUAAUGAUAAUUAUGCAAUAGGAUAGUAAAGAUAUUUCAUAUUUAAAUUAUAAGUUAGGCGUAGAAAGAAGUUAUAUGAGUUUAAAUAAAAUUUUCCACAUUUUAUGUGAUAGCCCGUCCCGAAUGUGUAUAUUAUUUUAUCCUCGAUAGCAUGAAAUGACCAUUUUGCCCUUGAGCGUUGGAUUGUGUUUUGUAUUAGUGGGCUAAGGAAAGUGACCAAUUAAUUUCUUUCCUAGCUAAUUGGACCCAAUUAGAACUUAGGAUUUUGUUUGUUUUUGGUUGGUGACUCAACUAGGACCACACACACCCAUACACAAACUCCCGUUGACUCUCUCUCUCUCCUCCCUCUCAUACCUCUUUCCAUUUCCGUACAAUUGUACGGACAUAUUUCAAACCAACCUUUGCAGGCACAGAUUGAGACUAUGAAGGGGGGUUUUCAUGUUCCUUGCAAGCCCAGGAGUCGAUUCAUACCCUUAUUUGGUCGUGAGAGCUUGUAGAACUUGAAUUUCCCGAACUUCGGUGAGGGGUGAUUUUCCUCCAAUGUGAUCGCGAAGGUUUUAAGUGGUUUUAGACCUAAGAAGGUAUUAUUCUUGCUUUUCUAGCACGGUGGAUCGAUUUUGGAGUAGUUUUGACGUUAGAACACUUAGGUUUAUCAAGUUGUAGGUUUGAACAUUCGGUCGAAGGAUUUUCCGACCACUUUUCAUUGGUUUUAGGUCUCCAAAGUGGUAAGAAUGUGUUCUACUCAUUGUAAGCUUCAUUUUGGUGAAAAUUUCAUUGAAUUUGGUUGAGAAAUGGAAGAGAUAUGAAGCUUUAAAGUUUUUCCAGUUUUUGGCGACACAGACGGCGACGGCGACGGAAUCCGAUGCCUCGCCGGAGAAGAAGGCGAAUAUUCCAUCAACUUUGAUGGGAUAUUCUAACAGCGUCAGGUAUCUUUAACGACAUAUACUUUUAUUUAACGGAAUAUUCCCUAACGCUGUUAAGGAAUCCGUCAAUGUGCCAGGCAUGUGCUUGCACGUGGUACGUCGGAAAAAUUUUCUAAAAAUAUGGGGAUGUUUGUGGGGUUGAGUAGAUCACGUUGGUAUAUUCAAACACCCCAAUUGAGCAGUGUAUGAGAAGUUAUUACCUAGUUUUGGUUAUGUGCUUUAAAUAACGUUUAUAUAGUUGUUUCGCAUAUAAGUGAGACCUAUCCUGAGGACGAGCGUAGUCAAGCUAGGCUCGGGGGUUACGACCCUUCCACAUAUCAGUGAGUGGGCUUUUGGUUUUCAGUAUAUAUUUAUAUACUUGGUAUUUUUCCCAGAAAAUGUGUUUAAAUGAAAUUAUAUUUUGAAAUGCCAUGCUUAUUGAUUUAUACUUAGACUAUGAAAUUGUAUGGUAUAUACAUAUGUGAUUUGACGCGGUGGAUGCUCAGGUAAGUAUCAGGUGAGUUGUAGAUUGUUAUCGUGAAUUGAUGAUCCUGAGAGAUGUGUUGAGAGCUCAUAAACCUGCACCCCGGUGUUAGUGCUCCCGCCCGUGGUUAGGGCACAGUCCUUCACGUGAUGUUCACCUCCCGCACCAUACACUCACCUUGGAUCCAAGUUAGGUGCAUAGUCCUGUCGUACAAACCACUAUAGGUGGUUCCGACUUGUAAGUGGCCCGCGAUUAUUCGCAUAGUCUUCACGUGAUCGUAGCAUUAGAGCGUGUUUAUUUACACCCAGUCAUGUCAUAUAGACCACAUUAGGUGAUUCUGACUCAUGUGCAGGCAUACUUGUUGAGCUAUAGAUUCAGCCGUACAUGCCAUUUUAGGUGGAUCCGGCUGAUAUGUUAUAUUUCAUGAUAUUAUUUCACCUGAGUUACUUAUUUUGUUACUUUGAGAUAUAUGUCAUGGUAUACUAUGAUUUUCACUAUUUUGAGCAUAGUUUUGAGAUAGGUCUAUAUAUUCUAUUUUCUGGGAAUUUAUACAAGUUUUACGGCGAAAGGUUAGAACUUUUGAUAAAUGAAUUGGUUUUGAAAAGAUUUGUUUUUGCUCUCUCACACUUUCUGUUUUGCACCCUUCUAGGUUUUAGGUAGGAGUGCUUGUUGGUGACUCACGAGGAAUUCACGGCAACUCUGAUAGAUUAUCACUAGUGUUGGACCAUCUUUGGUACUAUAUAAUUAGUAUUCAUCUCGCUGGACUGCGUUUAGGCUACUUAUGCUCUGGUUAUGUGUGGUCACACUUAUUCUCGUCUUGCACCUUACCUUAUCUAGUGCUCUAGUUGGUUUGAUUUUAUUUAUUUGCAUUUCUGUAUAUCAUUAUUGCUUCUGCACUGUGCACAUGGCGACGUUACCUUCACGUGACGGUCAACAUGCCUUAAUCUAGGUCGGGGUGUGUCAUUUUCCCUUUACAAAUUGCAGAAAUCAAACCGAACUAAAUAACAAUUUUGGUUUAACUUAUAAUUUUAAUUAAAACAUUACGUGAAAAAAAAGUUAAAAAAAGGAAACAAAGAAGAAGAAAUGAAAACGAAAUAAAGUAAAAUUAAAGAGAAAAAUGAAAACAAAAGUGAACUUUUUUGAAAGUGGCAUGAGAGGAUCAUUGAUACAACCUGCUCUAUUGAUUGAUUCCCAUACAUGUUAUCACAAAAACUGCAUAUGCCUUUCCCUAUGCAUGCCAUGCUAAAAGGUUAUAACAUAUGAGACAUCCAACUAGGGAAAGCAUGCUACGCAGAUAUCU